AUGGCCCUCCCGACACCUUCGGACAGCACCCUCCCCGCGGAAGCCCGAGGACGAGGACGGCGAAGGAGACUCGUUUGGACCCCGAGCCAAAGCGAGGUCCUGCGAGCCUGCUUUGAGCGGAACCCGUACCCGGGCAUCGCCACCAGAGAACGGCUGGCCCAGGCCAUCGGCAUUCCGGAGCCCAGGGUCCAGAUUUGGUUUCAGAAUGAGAGGUCACGCCAGCUGAGGCAGCACCGGCGGGAAUCUCGGCCCUGGCCCGGGAGACGCGGCCUGCAAGAAGGCAGGCGAAAGCGGACCGCCGUCACCGGAUCCCAGACCGCCCUGCUCCUCCGAGCCUUUGAGAAGGAUCGCUUUCCAGGCAUCGCCGCCAGGGAAGAGCUGGCCAGAGAGACGGGCCUCCCGGAGUCCAGGAUUCAGAUCUGGUUUCAGAAUCGAAGGGCCAGGCACCCGGGACAGGGUGGCAGGGCGCCCGCGCACGCAGGCGGCCUGUGCAACGCGGCCCCCAGCGGGUGUCACCCUGCUCCCUCGUGGGUCGCCUGCGCCCACACCGGGGCGUGGGGAACGGGGCUUCCCGCAUCCCACGUGCCCUGCGCGCCUGGGGCUCUCCCACAGGGGGCUUUCGGGAGCCAGGGAGCGAGGGCCGUCCCCGUGCUCCAGCCCAGCCAGGCCGCGCCGGCAGAGGGGAUCUCCCAACCUGCCCCGGCACUCGGGACUUUGUGUUCCCUGCCCUAGCUCCUCCGGAAGUGGGACUGUCCCACCCUCAGACUCCUCGGAGGCCUCCGCACCCCAGUAAAUGACAGGAGGACCAGGACCCGCAGCGCGACGGCCUGCUGGGCGCGUGCUCAGUGGGACAGCUUGGGCCCCCUCAAGCUGAGUCACAGGGGCAAGGUGUGCUUGCGCCACCCACGUCCCACCGGAGUCCGCGGUGGGGCUGGAGCCCCAGGUCGCCAGGGCGGCGUGGGAACCCGAAGACGGGGCACCUCCACCUCCGAAGCUCGCGACCCCGGAGGCCUCUGCGUCAAGCACAGAUGCCAGCCAUCCAGGCGCCUCCCAACCGCUCCAGGAGCCGGGGCGCUCGUCUGCACUCACCUCCAGCCUGUUAGAUGAGCUCCCGUCAACCCCAGACUUUCAGCAAAAGGCACAACCUUUCCUAGAUCCGGUGUCACUGGGGGAGCUGAAGGAGGUGGAAGAGCCUGCUCCGCUGGAACCACUCCUCAGCCAGGAAGAACACGGGGCUCUGCUGGAGGAGCUUUAG
rnacentral:lncRNA from 1 species